rnacentral:rRNA from 1 species
AGUCGAGCGCCCCGCAGGGGAGCGGCAGACGGGUGAGUAACGCGUGGGAAUCUACCCUUGACUACGGAAUAACGCAGGGAAACUUGUGCUAAUACCGUAUGUGUCCUUCGGGAGAAAGAUUUAUCGGUCAAGGAUGAGCCCGCGUUGGAUUAGCUAGUUGGUGGGGUAAAGGCCUACCAAGGCGACGAUCCAUAGCUGGUCUGAGAGGAUGAUCAGCCACAUUGGGACUGAGACACGGCCCAAACUCCUACGGGAGGCAGCAGUGGGGAAUAUUGGACAAUGGGCGCAAGCCUGAUCCAGCCAUGCCGCGUGAGUGAUGAAGGCCCUAGGGUUGUAAAGCUCUUUCACCGGAGAAGAUAAUGACGGUAUCCGGAGAAGAAGCCCCGGCUAACUUCGUGCCAGCAGCCGCGGUAAUACGAAGGGGGCUAGCGUUGUUCGGAAUUACUGGGCGUAAAGCGCACGUAGGCGGAUCGAUCAGUCAGGGGUGAAAUCCCAGGGCUCAACCCUGGAACUGCCUUUGAUACUGUCGAUCUGGAGUAUGGAAGAGGUGAGUGGAAUUCCGAGUGUAGAGGUGAAAUUCGUAGAUAUUCGGAGGAACACCAGUGGCGAAGGCGGCUCACUGGUCCAUUACUGACGCUGAGGUGCGAAAGCGU